GGCCUCGUGGCCUAAUGGCAUGGCGUCACAUUUCGGUUAUCCCACAAGAAGAUAAUUCAUUCUGUGAAGAUUGUCGGUUCGAAUCCGGCCGAGGUCG